CUUCACCGAGCCCAGCCACAGCGGUUCCACGCGGUCCUGGCCGUAGGUGGCCAUGAGCGCCUGGGCCUC
rnacentral:antisense_RNA from 1 species